rnacentral:rRNA from 1 species
GUGGGGAAUAUUGGACAAUGGGCGAAAGCCUGAUCCAGCCAUGCCGCGUGUGUGAAGAAGGUCUUCGGAUUGUAAAGCACUUUAAGUUGGGAGGAAGGGCAGUAAGUUAAUACCUUGCUGUUUUGAUGUUACCGACAGAAUAAGCACCGGCUAACUUCGUGCCAGCAGCCGCGGUAAUACGAAGGGUGCAAGCGUUAAUCGGAAUUACUGGGCGUAAAGCGCGCGUAGGUGGUUUUGUAAGUUGGAAGUGAAAUCCCCGGGCUCAACCUGGGAACUGCCUCCAAAACUGCAUGACUAGAGUAAGGUAGAGGGUAGUGGAAUUUCCUGUGUAGCGGUGAAAUGCGUAGAUAUAGGAAGGAACACCAGUGGCGAAGGCGAAUACCUGGACUGAUACUGACACUGAGGUGCGAAAGCGUGGGGAGCAAACAGGAUUAGAAACCCUAGUAGUCC